rnacentral:lncRNA from 1 species
ACUUUCCUUCCGCAGUGUGUCUGUUGACUGUCGCAGGUAUUCACCAGGGGCUGAAACAGUCGUACACCUUAUUUUGCAGGAAGUUCUUUCAGAAACUGGCUUUAGGGGCUUAACUGAACUUAAUACUAAAUCGUAUCCGUCAGAACCCCACCUGCGACUUUUUUUUUUUUUUCAUUCUUACCUGAGCAGGGAGAAUGCUGGGUGGGACACCGCAGUUCCAUGGUGGAGCCUAAGCGUCUUGUACAACAAAGGAUGGAUUUAAGGAUGACCGCAGGAGAACAAUACUUCCUUUGUUGUGGAAAAUCUCUGAUUUUUUUUUUUUUCCUCCUGAUUGUGGCUGCUGCUAGGGCUGUUUGUUCAUGUAAGUGUUUAUAGCAUGCCUUUGCACUUUGUCAGGGAAACUGGCCUUCCAUCCUGCCAUUUUGCAACAGGACUUCUGACUAUAUCUCAUGAAUCUAAUAAUAGACAUCGUGCCCACCACCUGUGCUUAAAAUCGUUGCCCCAUGGGUUUCACUCCAGUGCCAGCCCUCCUAGGGUGGUACCCACACUCAGAUCUGAAUGGGCACACCCCCUUCCUAACAACAUGGAAAUAUGUCAUUGAAAAAAGAAAGAAAAAAGAAAACCCAAACAACUUGCUCCUCCAUGAACCCCUGUGACUGACACUCUAUGAAACCUAAUGUCAACAAACCUGUUGUUCAUCUUUCUAAACCGGGAGCUGGGCAGCACUGUCUGAAUCAUCAGGAAAUCUGAGGAAAGUAUGUUCUGUGAUUGUGAGGCUUUGCUGUGAAAUGUUCAGUCAGUCCGUCCUGACAACACACCAAUAGACUCAGUUUCGUGGAUUGUGAGUCAAGUGAUUCGCUUUCCAGAUAAUUGGUACUUAGCUCUGUCAAACACAAUUCUUGUGUCUACAUUGGAUGCUUGACUUGUGAAAUAUGCUAUAUUCUCCAAUAAAGAAAAUGAGGAUAGAGACUGCUCCAGGCGAUCCAGUACCAAGAACACUGUAACACCUGAGUCAGGCUAUUGGCUUUUUCUUGUCCUUGAUCAACUACAUGAACCUACUUACUUAAUACCUCUCUCUCUCUCUUUCAUUUAGUUGUUUUAUCUAUAGAACAAUAACUAAUUCUAACACAUUGACUCCCUUAAGACUAUCCUUUUGACUCAUGAUACUUUAAGUCUCCUUAAACAUGUCAUUCUGGACUUUUUGUAUUCCUGUAUUUCUAUAUUAACAGUAUAGAAUUUCCCUGUAGGGCCUUUGGACCUUUCAGUGACAAUGAGAUCUAAGUUUAAUAUAAUCAACCUCCAUCUUUGUGACUGUUUCUAUUUGGUACCAGUCCAGGUGGACUUGUCACAAAGGAAUCAUCCUUGGGGAAGGCUUCAUGUCAUGUCAAGGUUGCCAGGUUAAAUCAUGUCAUGUCAAGGUUGUCAGGUUAAAAUAUUUACCCCCCAAAAAAUAUUUACCCAAUUGUCUGGGCCAGGCAUAAUUCAAGACCAUUCUAUCAUGGUUCAAAGUGUUAGUGUAGGCGUCUUCACUAUGCUACACUUCAAGAAAUAACCGAGCUCUUCAAACCAUAUGGCCUCCCCUGUUUCUACUCAUUACCCAGAUGUAGCUUGCUUUCAGCCCAGCUGGGUACACUGUUUAAAGAGAUUUUGGAGAUGAAACUUGAAAACAAUAACAACCCAAAAAAUGACUGUUGGGGCUAUAUUUUAAUGAUCAUCUGCAAAUGGUUACUGUAUUGAACAUGUCAUUAAUAAACUGAAUUGCCCAACAGUCCUUUUAGCUAGCUGUGCUGUGUUUCCUGCAUGUACAUCUGUUUUUAUCACAGCCAGGCAUCAUUUUUCAAACAUAUGGGUCCAGAUAAGGAGAACUGGAGUACAAAGAAGCUUACAUAAGGUAUCACAACUUUCUCCUUCUCUUAAUGUUCUCCUGUCUCCCUCCAGACUGUGGAAGGACAGACUUAAAGCCAAUGUUUAGGUACCAUGUUUCCCACCCAGGAAUAUCUCCCCCACCACAUCACACAUGGUUCUUUGCUUAGAUUUGUAUGCUGUGCCCACCAAAGAUUUUCUUGUCUCCUGUAGCUUUGUGGUUUUCCACGAUUUUUAUUAUAAUCUAACACACACUUUUUAAUAUUUCAUUUAACAAAUAUUUAUACUGCAUAGUAUAUACCCAAGAUAUUAACCCUUAAAAAUAUUAACCCACCUAAUUCCAAUAAUAUUGUGGUGCAAAAUAGUAUGUCCAUUUUACAGAUGGGAACACUGAACAGAUAUAUGCUUAAAUAAACACCCCAAAUCCAAUGGUAGGAAAUGGUAGAAUUUAUGUUGAACUCAGCCAUGAGCUAUAUUCUUUUCUGUUCUGAUUUUGUUCAUUGAAUCCUAUCCCAGCAGAUUCUAUGUUUUAUUUUAUAUGUAAGGGUCUUUGCUAAGACCCUUAAAGUCCUUUGGCAACACAAAAUUUGUUUAAUGUUGCUUUGUCUUUGCUCUCAUUGUGGUCGGGGAGUACAGUAUGCAUUGUUUAUGUCUCUAGUUUGGCUAUGGGCAGUGCUGUUAGUAUUACAUUUGUGGUUAUUUAAUAAAGAGAUCAUGGUGAGC